rnacentral:tRNA from 1 species
GCCUCGCUCAGCCGGUAGAGUGUGAGACUCUUAAUCUCAGCAUUGUGGGUUCGAGCCCCAUGUUGGGCA